rnacentral:rRNA from 1 species
AUUGAACGCUGGCGGCAUGCCUUACACAUGCAAGUCGAACGGCAGCACGGGAGCAAUCCUGGUGGCGAGUGGCGAACGGGUGAGUAAAGUAUCGGAACGUGCCCAGUCGUGGGGGAUAACGUAGCGAAAGUUACGCUAAUACCGCAUACGAUCUAUGGAUGAAAGCGGGGGAUCGCAAGACCUCGCGCGAUUGGAGCGGCCGAUAUCAGAUUAGGUAGUUGGUGGGGUAAAGGCUCACCAUGCCGACGAUCUGUAGCUGGUCUGAGAGGACGACCAGCCACACUGGGACUGGGACACGGCCCAGACUCCUACGGGAGGCAGCAGUGGGGAAUUUUGGACAAUGGGCGAAAGCCUGAUCCAGCCAUGCCGCGUGCAGGAUGAAAGCCUUCGGGUUGUAAACUGCUUUUGUACGGAACGAAAAGGUUUGGGCUAAUAAGCUGAGCUCAUGACGGUACCGUAAGAAUAAGCACCGGCUAACUACGUGCCAGCCGCCGCGGUAA